rnacentral:lncRNA from 1 species
UUGGAGUAGGUCUUAGGAGUGGACCAUUGGCUCAUCUCUCUGAAUAUCUAACAUGACAUCAUAGUAGGUUUGAUUAUGGCUCCUGUGGGCCUGUACCAUGCUCGAGUUACCGGGUUUAAAUAACAACAUGCUUUUAUGCUCCAUAUCCUAUGUGAGAUUGAUUACACAUGUAGUCCACUAUGUGGUGAUCCUGUGUGAGGGGACGUGUUAAAUAUAAGCCCCACAUGGAACAAUUGAGAAAAUAAGUAAAAUAUUUAAGAAUAUAAUUCAACUUCUAAUAACACUGAGGUUAUUUGUGAUAUAACCCAACACUUAGCAAUGGAUUGUUAUGUUAAGAUAGUAUCAGUGUAGUUAGAAGUUAAUGACCGUGUCUCUGAAUAUCUGACAUUUGGGGUAUUCAUUCAUAAAAGUAGUGUUGAAACUAUGUAUGUGUUUGCCAAUAGCAAAAUAUUAAACCUUUUUUUUUAACUUUUUUCUUUAUGAAAUUGGCCCAUCUCUCUGAAUAUCAGACAUGAUAUCAAAGUGGGUUUGAUUGUGGCUCUUGUGGGCAUGUGUCAUGCCCAAGUUACCAGGUUUAAUAUAACACCUAUAUGGGAUUAGUUGUACGUGUAGUCCACUAUGUGGUGAUCCUAUGUGACAGGACGUGUUGAAUAUAAGCCUCACAUUGGGGGAUGAGAAAAUAAAGUAAAACAUUGGGGGAUGAGAAAAUAAAAUAAAGUAAUAACACUGAGGUUUUUUGUAAUAUAAUCCAACAUUUAGCAAUAAAUUGUUAAGUUAAGAUAAUAUCAAUGUAGUUAAGAGUGAAUCAAUGACUUGUGUCUCUGAAUAUCUGACAUUUGGGGUAUUGAUUUAUAAAAGUAGUGUUGAAACUAUUUAUGUGUUUGCCAAUAAUAAAAUAUUAGACCCUUUUUUUAACUUUUUUUUCUUUAGGAAAACAAAAGAAAAUGACUAUUUGCAUGGUAGAAAUAGAACCUCUCUAAUGACAUCAAAUCACCUUUUUUCAUUGAGUUGAAAUUUGAAUCAAUACCAUGUACACAAAUUGGUGUCUUGUAGCUUUUGGGGAAAACUAAAGGGCCACGUUGAGAACCCUGUGCACACAUACAAAAUGUAUAGUUGAUGAUAGACGUUUAUAAUGGACCACAUCAGCAUCCCCAUCAAACUUGACACGCGGUGCAAGCAUGGACCACCCACGUGGAAAGAUGAUUGCAUUAUUUGAUAAAUAGGAGACUAUAGGACCACAAAGAUAAAAACCCUAGGCGUAAUCACAAUUCACAAGCUCCACCAAGUUUUCAAUUUCCAAAAAGUUAAUUUCAGAGGUUGAAAUCAAGCUGCUUAAUAAAAUAAUUAGUUUAUGGAUUAUGGACAACUCAUCCACUAUCGAGACCUGUAAUAUUGUAAGACCUCACAGAUGUAUCACCUUAGAAAUUGGUAAACUAAUCUUGCUAAAAGGUUGGCUUUCAAGCACUUGAUGAUUUUGUAUCAUAUUUAAUUCUGAUAAAGAAGAUUUGAUUACUUUACUGGAUUAAAUUAGUAGGGGAAUUGUUGCUCCCAUAACAUGAACAAGAUCUUUUGAGCACUAGGUUAAUUAAUAUAGAAUCAAAGCAAUUGCAUGAAAGCAGUAUGCUGGAAUCCUUUUUUUAUGCUUAUGGAAAAAGGCAGAUUCGAAUUCACACAUUUAGUUCUAGCUCCAUACCGUAUAAAAUGUUAUAUCAUCAAACUAUUAGUUGAGCUAAAAUUUCUAAAUAAAAAUUUAUCUAAUCAGUAAUUCAACAUCGACAAUAUAAAAUAGUUUGCUCUUAAGGGUUUAGCAAACCUAUAUUUUAUGCUGGAAUCAUUCUUAUUAUCAAGAAAAUUUGGUAGAGAGGAGACAGGUUGGGAGUUUCAGGAUGUAAUCGUUGUUUUUCUUUUUAGGAUAGGGUAGGUGUAUAGCACACGCCGAUCAGCGAAUAACUAAUCUCAUCUAAUUCUUCAUUAUUUUUAUAAAAGGUGAUAUUAUAUAUGUAAGAAUACUAUAUAGCUCGGGUAAUGCUCUUUGUUAGACUUGAAAAUUACAUAUUAUAGAAGAAAAAAAGACUCAGUUGAUUAAGAGGCCAUAUCAAGUGUUGAAAGUUUGCCUAAGAUUUUGAUUGGGUACGUUCGUUUUCUGUUAGAAAUUUAGUUAGUGUUUGACUGUGAACUUUCCUUUGUGACGGUUAAGGAUAUGUGAUGUCUAAUAGUCCAUGUCACUAGGAGGGGCUUUUUAGUAGGAAUUAUUACUUUGUAGGAUACAAAAUUGGGAAAAAAAAAUUGCACUCCAUAAAAAUAUUUUUUUCUUGGUUUAGGUUCUGAUGUGACAAUGAGGUCAAUUAGUAGGCUAAUAUAUAUAACAAUAUGCUUCUUUACGUGAGCCUCCACUUACAGAGAACAACAAUAUGAGGAAGGGGUUAGUUAGUAGGUUACUCUCUUUUGGAGAAAGAAAACAUAUGUAUAAAGUAUAUGAUUCCUUCCUGCUGCUUCUUUCUUCAAAUUUUGUUACUAAUUAAAGUAUAGUUUACAAGAUUUGAUAUAGGUUGACUAACUAAAUAUUCAUUAUUCACAAUCAUGUAGAAAGACGGGAAAAAGGGGUCCAGCUCAGCUAGCAUUUUGUAGGAAACACAAGCAAGCAUGCACUACUUUUUUUUCCACUUUAUAUUUUGACAAUAUAUAUAUAUCGUUUAAACUUUAAAAUUAGGCAAUGUUUAGAGUUCGACUUUUACUAAAGCCUCUUUUGUUGGUCUCCCAUAUGCAAUAGUAAAGUGAUAAACUCACUAUUUAAUUACUAGCUAGGUAAGAUCUACAAUAUCUAACUGGAAAGCUUUUGCCAAGUUCAAUAUAUACUGUAACCAAAUAACUUGACAACCUUAAUAAGGCUUACACUGACUCUUGAAUAGUAUCCUUCACAAAACUCGGCAUGGAAUGAAGUUUAGAACCUAAACCCAGACUGAUUUUAUAACCAUGACCAACCAAAUAAGAUAAGUUUUGUUCGUGGAUUUCUAUUACAUCCUAGUCCAAAUCAAUCCUAAUGACAUUCUAAUAAUAAAUUCCAAAUUCCAAUCGGUAUAAAAUCCAAAUCAACCGGCAAACAACUUAAUAGUUAGCAAUUCAAUACGACGUUAAUUACUUGUUUAAGUCUAGUAUAUUAGUUUAAUCUCUCAAUUUGAACCAUUCUUACUUUGAAUCUUCAUUCAAAUUUACCCAUACUGAAAAUCUAUUAACAGUUCGUAUAUUGUUUGGUCAUGGUUACGUAACUCAGAAAGGGUCGUUUAAUAACCAUUUCAUUUUUAGUUUUCAAAUUAUUUUAAAACUAAAAACUAUUUCUUGAGUUUUAAAAUUUUGGGCUUGAGUUUUACUUUUUUUUUGUUUUAAAAUGAAAACUGAAAGUAGUUACCAAAUAAGAUUUCAAUUUCAGUUUAAAAACAAAAUGAAAACUAAAAGCCAAAAACUAAAAACUAAAACUAAAAAUGAAAUGGUUAUCAAAUAUCUCCUAACAUUUUUUUUUUAUCAGAGUGAAUUUUUGUAGUAAUGACCUUUCUUUGAAAACCUAAUAACUUAUCGAUUUAAAUUAUAAAAAAUAUUGUGGAG